CCUCCAUAUUUUUAUUCUUCUGACUAUUCUUUUCUGUCCUAUCUUUUUCUAGAAGAUUUGAAACUUUUUAAAAAGAAAAAAGUUAUGUAGAUCACCGAUGGUUUUCCAUCCCCCAAAAAUUCAAAAAAAAAAACAAUGAUGCGGCAUUUUUUUUUUCAUGUUAUUUGUAGAAAAAAAUGCAUCUUUUUAGUUUCAUUUCUU
rnacentral:lncRNA from 1 species